rnacentral:rRNA from 1 species
AGAGUUUGAUCAUGGCUCAGAUUGAACGCUGGCGGCAUGCCUUACACAUGCAAGUCGAACGGUAACAGGUCUUUCGGGAUGCUGACGAGUGGCGAACGGGUGAGUAAUACAUCGGAACGUGCCUAGUAGUGGGGGAUAACUACUCGAAAGAGUGGCUAAUACCGCAUGAGAUCUAUGGAUGAAAGCAGGGGACCUUCGGGCCUUGUGCUACUAGAGCGGCCGAUGGCAGAUUAGGUAGUUGGUGGGAUAAAAGCUUACCAAGCCUACGAUCUGUAGCUGGUCUGAGAGGACGAUCAGCCACACUGGGACUGAGACACGGCCCAGACUCCUACGGGAGGCAGCAGUGGGGAAUUUUGGACAAUGGGGGAAACCCUGAUCCAGCAAUGGCCGCGUGCAGGAUGAAGGCCUUCGGGUUGUAAACUGCUUUUGUACGGAACGAAAAGUCUUGGGUUAAUACCCUGGGAUCAUGACGGUACCGUAAGAAUAAGCACCGGCUAACUACGUGCCAGCAGCCGCGGUAAUACGUAGGGUGCAAGCGUUAAUCGGAAUUACUGGGCGUAAAGCGUGCGCAGGCGGUUUUGUAAGACAGUGGUGAAAUCCCCGGGCUCAACCUGGGAACUGCCAUUGUGACUGCAAGGCUGGAGUGCGGCAGAGGGGGAUGGAAUUCCGCGUGUAGCAGUGAAAUGCGUAGAUAUGCGGAGGAACACCGAUGGCGAAGGCAAUCCCCUGGGCCUGCACUGACGCUCAUGCACGAAAGC